rnacentral:rRNA from 1 species
CCUACGGGUGACAGCAGUGAGGAAUAUUGGUCAAUGGACGAGAGUCUGAACCAGCCAAGUAGCGUGAAGGAUGACUGCCCUAUGGGUUGUAAACUUCUUUUAUAUGGGAAUAAAAUGUUCCACGUGUGGGAUUUUGUAUGUACCAUAUGAAUAAGGAUCGGCUAACUCCGUGCCAGCAGCCGCGGUAAUACGGAGGAUCCGAGCGUUAUCCGGAUUUAUUGGGUUUAAAGGGAGCGUAGGUGGAUUGUUAAGUCAGUUGUGAAAUUUCGCUGCUCAACCGUAAAAUUGCAGUUGAUACUGGCAGUCUUGAGUACAGUAGAGGUGGGCGGAAUGCGUGGUGUAGCGGUGAAAUGCUUAGAUAUCACGAAGAACUCCGAUUGCGAAGGCAGCUCACUGGACUGCAACUGACACUGAGGCUCGAAAGUGUGGGUAUCAAACAGGAUUAGAUACCCUUGUAGUC